GAUGAACGCUAGCUACAGGCUUAACACAUGCAAGUCGAGGGGAAACGAUAUUGGAAGCUUGCUUCCGAUAGGCGUCGACCGGCGCACGGGUGAGUAACGCGUAUCCAACCUGCCCACCACUUGGGGAUAACCUUGCGAAAGUAAGACUAAUACCCAAUGAUAUCUCAAGAAGACAUCUGAAUGAGAUUAAAGAUUUAUCGGUGAUGGAUGGGGAUGCGUCUGAUUAGCUUGUUGGCGGGGUAACGGCCCACCAAGGCGACGAUCAGUAGGGGUUCUGAGAGGAAGGUCCCCCACAUUGGAACUGAGACACGGUCCAAACUCCUACGGGAGGCAGCAGUGAGGAAUAUUGGUCAAUGGGCGAGAGCCUGAACCAGCCAAGUAGCGUGCAGGAUGACGGCCCUAUGGGUUGUAAACUGCUUUUAUAAGGGAAUAAAGUGAGCCUCGUGAGGCUUUUUGCAUGUACCCUAUGAAUAAGGACCGGCUAAUUCCGUGCCAGCCGCCGCAGUAA
rnacentral:rRNA from 1 species